GCCUGGGUGGCUCAGUUGGUUAAGCAUCUGGCUUCGGCUCAGAUCAUGCAUGAUCUUACAGCUCGUGGGUUUGAGCCCCACAUCGGGCU
rnacentral:tRNA from 1 species